rnacentral:rRNA from 1 species
UAGGGAAUCUUCCGCAAUGGGCGAAAGCCUGACGGAGCAACGCCGCGUGAGUGAUGAAGGUCUUCGGAUCGUAAAACUCUGUUAUUAGGGAAGAACAAAUGUGUAAGUAACUAUGCACGUCUUGACGGUACCUAAUCAGAAAGCCACGGCUAACUACGUGCCAGCAGCCGCGGUAAUACGUAGGUGGCAAGCGUUAUCCGGAAUUAUUGGGCGUAAAGCGCGCGUAGGCGGUUUUUUAAGUCUGAUGGGAAACCCCACGGCUCAAACGUGGGGGGCCAAUGGAAACUGGACAACUUGGGUGCAGAAGAGGAAAGUGGAAUUCCAUGUGUAGCGAUGAAAUGAGAAGAGAUAUGGAAGAACACCAGUGGCGAAGGCGACUUUCUGGUCUGUAACUGACGCUGAUGUGCGAAAGCGUGGGGAUCAAACAGG